rnacentral:ncRNA from 1 species
UUUGGUAACCGGCAAUUUUUAGGCCGGUGCAAGGGAACCCGGUGAAAGGCCGGGGCUGUACCUGCAGCUGUGAUCCCCGCAAGGGGCCUGUUUCCAAACGCCACUGGGCGCAUCGCUCCACCCUUCUGCAGGGCCCGGAGAGUUGCAGGGCCCGGGAAGGCGGAGCAGGCCGGGGAAAGCCAGAAGACCUGCCUGAACCCAUA